UUGAUGUGUGUGUGGGGGUGUGCACAUAUUUAUUGAAGCUUUUCAAAAAAAUGAAUCUCAUUCUUUGUGUCCUUCAUAGGUUGGAACAAACAUUGUGGAAUACCUCCAGGGGGUGGAGUCCAGGCCCUAUCCAUCGGUUCUGGCCCUUGGACAAGUGACGCAAAAUUCUUUACAAGCUUUUGCUGUGAUGGCUGGUCAGUGUGCCUCUUCAUGGGAGUUCCUCCAGAAAGUGGUUUAUGACAUGGAGGGACCAGAAUCUAACAAAGUUAAGUUUUUAAAGACUGUCUUAAAGAAUGUGAAAGUGUUUUAAAAAAAAUCUGAGUUCAUAAUAGUUUAUGAAAAAAAAACAUUCAUUUGUUACAGAUGCUUUUUCUUCUACUUGCAGAAAAAAUUGCUAACUACUACUUGUUACUGCUGCUUUUUUAAGAAGGCAUUUGUCUUCUGUAUUUUAUUGGUACCCCUUUUUGGGUUUUAUUCUAAAUAAAUAUUUGUCAUUAA